rnacentral:rRNA from 1 species
UGUUAAUGCAUGGCGGGUGCUAUACAUGCAGUCGAGCGGACAGAUGGGAGCUUGCUCCCUGAUGUUAGCGGCGGACGCGUGAGUAACACGUGGGUAACCUGCCUGUAAGACUGGGAUAACUCCGGGAAACCGGGGCUAAUACCGGAUGGUUGUUUGAACCGCAUGGUUCAAACAUAAAAGGUGGCUUCGGCUACCACUUACAGAUGGACCCGCGGCGCAUUAGCUAGUUGGUGAGGUAACGGCUCACCAAGGCAACGAUGCGUAGCCGACCUGAGAGGGUGAUCGGCCACACUGGGACUGAGACACGGCCCAGACUCCUACGGGAGGCAGCAGUAGGGAAUCUUCCGCAAUGGACGAAAGUCUGACGGAGCAACGCCGCGUGAGUGAUGAAGGUUUUCGGAUCGUAAAGCUCUGUUGUUAGGGAAGAACAAGUACCGUUCGAAUAGGGCGGUACCUUGACGGUACCUAACCAGAAAGCCACGGCUAACUACGUGCCAGCAGCCGCGGUAAUACGUAGGUGGCAAGCGUUGUCCGGAAUUAUUGGGCGUAAAGGGCUCGCAGGCGGUUUCUUAAGUCUGAUGUGAAAGCCCCCGGCUCAACCGGGGAGGGUCAUUGGAAACUGGGGAACUUGAGUGCAGAAGAGGAGAGUGGAAUUCCACGUGUAGCGGUGAAAUGCGUAGAGAUGUGGAGGAACACCAGUGGCGAAGGCGACUCUCUGGUCUGUAACUGACGCUGAGGAGCGAAAGCGUGGGGAGCGAACAGGAUUAGAUACCCUGGUAGUCCACGCCGUAAACGAUGAGUGCUAAGUGUUAGGGGGUUCCGCCCCUUAGUGUUGCAGCUAACGCA